UACGUAGGGCGCAAGCGUUAUCCGGAAUUAUUGGGCGUAAAGAGCUCGUAGGCGGUUUGUCGCGUCUGCCGUGAAAGUCCGGGGCUCAACUCCGGAUCUGCGGUGGGUACGGGCAGACUAGAGUGAUGUAGGGGAGACUGGAAUUCCUGGUGUAGCGGUGAAAUGCGCAGAUAUCAGGAGGAACACCGAUGGCGAAGGCAGGUCUCUGGGCCGGUACUGACACUGAGGAGCGAAAGCGUGGGGAGCAAACAGG
rnacentral:rRNA from 1 species